rnacentral:rRNA from 1 species
UAGGGGAAUCUUCCACAAUGGACGCAAGUCUGAUGGAGCAACGCCGCGUGAGUGAAGAAGGUCUUCGGAUCGUAAAACUCUGUUGUUAGAGAAGAACACGAGUGAGAGUAACUGUUCAUUCGAUGACGGUAUCUAACCAGCAAGUCACGGCUAACUACGUGCUAG